rnacentral:pre_miRNA from 1 species
CAACUACUCCCUCUGUCCCAAAUUUCUUUUCUUAGAUUUGUCUAGAUACGGAUGUAUCUAAUACUAAAAUGUGACUUGAUACAUCCGUAUCUAGACAAAUCUAAGACAAGAAUUUUGGGAUGGAGGGAGUACUUU